CUGCACUUUUGCACAGGUGCAAAUGUCCUUGUGUCAUCGGCCAUCCCUGGCGAUUUGUUGAACUGAGAAGUGACUUAGUCAGAAGCCCCCUGGCUCACACAUGUGGCUGUGUUUUGGAGAUCCCCAAUACCUACACUUCAUACCUGGAGAUGUCUGAGGAGUUCACCCAGGUUCUGGACUCUAGUGUUUGGGGUGAUGGACAUAAUUUAAAUCAAGGCUUAAGGUGUCCUCGUUGGAUACUUCACCCAGGUUCUGAAGAUUGUUCGGCAUUACGUCCAUGUUCUAUCAGUUAUCUGCGAUUAUCACACGGUUCUGUUGAAUACUCGAUUCUGAUCGGUCGAUCACGGCGUUCAGCAGUCUGUAAUUUUUGUAUUACAGACCGUUGCUAUGUAUAACAGACCGUUUCAAUGGGCGCAGCUCUGAUGUUGGACUCUGGCGGACCGUUUUUGUGUCAAAAUAUUGAUUUCUUCAGUAA